rnacentral:piRNA from 1 species
AAAUGUCUAUAUGGCUGGCCUGAUUUACCAU